rnacentral:rRNA from 1 species
GACAGAGGGUGCAAACGUUGUUCGGAAUUACUGGGCGUAAAGCGCGUGUAGGCGGUGUGGUAAGUCGGAUGUGAAAGCCCCGGGCUCAACCCGGGAAGUGCGCUCGAUACUGCCACGCUAGAGUAUCGGAGAGGUUGGUGGAAUUCUCGGUGUAGAGGUGAAAUUCGUAGAUAUCGAGAGGAACACCGGUGGCGAAGGCGGCCAACUGGACGAAUACUGACGCUGAGACUCGAAAGCGUGGGGAGCAAACAGG